rnacentral:rRNA from 1 species
CCUACGGGUGACUGCAGUGAGGAAUAUUGGUCAAUGGUCGGGAGACUGAACCAGCCAAGCCGCGUGAGGGAUGAAGGUACAGAGUAUCGUAAACCUCUUUUGUCAGGGAACAAAGGCGGGGACGCGUCCCCGGAUGAGUGUACCUGAAGAAAAAGCAUCGGCUAACUCCGUGCCGACAGCCGCGGUACUACGGAGGAUGCGAGCGUUAUCCGGAUUUAUGGGGUUAAAGGGGUGCGCGGGCGGUCUGUUAAGUCAGCGGUCAAAGCCCGGGGCUCAACCCCGGCCCGCCGUUGAAACUGGCAGUCUCGAGUUGGAGAGAAGUAUGCGGAAUGCGCGGUGUAGCGGUGAAAUGCAUAGAUAUCGCGCAGAACUCCGAUGGCGAAGGCAGCAUGCCGGCUCCACACUGACGCUGAGGCACGAAAGCGUGGGUAUCGAACAGGAUUAGAUACCCCAGUAGUC